GACGAACGCUGGCGGCGUGCUUAACACAUGCAAGUCGAGGGCACUUCGGGGGCAACCCUGGAGUGACCGGCGAACGGGUGCGUAACACGUGAGCGACCUUGCCUCGUGGUGGGGGAUAGCCGGCCCAACGGCCGGGUAAUACCGCAUAUGGUGGUUCUUUCGUCAUGGGAGGAACUAAGCAAAGCUGUCGGGCAACCGAUGGCGCCA
rnacentral:rRNA from 1 species